rnacentral:lncRNA from 1 species
CAUGGUACUAUAGGCAUUUCUACAGGUGACAAAGUGGCAUGGUUAGAUGUUUGCUUGCAAAAGUUUGAGGGUGGUUUGGGGCUGAGAAAAAUGCAAUUUUUGUAAUGAAACCUGCAUCUUAUAUGCAUAAUUAAAAUCGCUUGAUGCUUUUCUUUAGAGCUGGUUCAAUUUAAGUAGAUUGUAUUAGAAUAAUAUAUUUUUC